rnacentral:rRNA from 1 species
UAGACCGCCUGGGGAGUACGGCCGCAAGGUUAAAACUCAAAUGAAUUGACGGGGGCCCGCACAAGCGGUGGAGCAUGUGGUUUAAUUCGAUGCAACGCGAAGAACCUUACCUGGUCUUGACAUCCACGGAAGUUUUCAGAGAUGAGAAUGUGCCUUCGGGAACCGUGAGACAGGUGCUGCAUGGCUGUCGUCAGCUCGUGUUGUGAAAUGUUGGGUUAAGUCCCGCAACGAGCGCAACCCUUAUCCUUUGUUGCCAGCGGUUAGGCCGGGAACUCAAAGGAGACUGCCAGUGAUAAACUGGAGGAAGGUGGGGAUGACGUCAAGUCAUCAUGGCCCUUACGACCAGGGCUACACACGUGCUACAAUGGCGCAUACAAAGAGAAGCGACCUCGCGAGAGCAAGCGGACCUCAUAAAGUGCGUCGUAGUCCGGAUUGGAGUCUGCAACUCGACUCCAUGAAGUCGGAAUCGCUAGUAAUCGUGGAUCAGAAUGCCACGGUGAAUACGUUCCCGGGCCUUGUACACACCGCCCGUCACACCAUGGGAGUGGGUUGCAAAAGAAGUAGGUAGCUUAACCUUCGGGAGGGCGCUUACCACUUUGUGAUUCAUGACUGGGGUGAAGUCGUAACAAGGUAACCGUAGGGGAACCUGCGGUUGGAUCACCUCCUUACCUUAAAGAA